rnacentral:rRNA from 1 species
CGUCGGUUGUAAGCACUUUCGGACGGAACGAAAUACGCACGGGUGAAUAUCCCGUGUGGAUGACGGUACUGUAAGAAGAAGCACCGGCUAACUACGUGC